AUUGAACGCUGGCGGCAGGCUUAACACAUGCAAGUCGAGCGGAGAUGAGGUGCUUGCACCUUAUCUUAGCGGCGGACGGGUGAGUAAUGCUUAGGAAUCUGCCUAUUAGUGGGGGACAACAUUCCGAAAGGAAUGCUAAUACCGCAUACGUCCUACGGGAGAAAGCAGGGGAUCUUCGGACCUUGCGCUAAUAGAUGAGCCUAAGUCGGAUUGGCUAGUUGGUGGGGUAAAGGCCUAACAAGGCGACGAUCUGUAGCGGGUCUGAGAGGAUGAUCCGCCACACUGGGACUGAGACACGGCCCAGACUCCUACGGGAGGCAGCAGUGGGGAAUAUUGGACAAUGGGGGAAACCCUGAUCCAGCCAUGCCGCGUGUGUGAAGAAGGCCUUAUGGUUGUAAAGCACUUUAAGCGAGGAGGAGGCUACUGAGACUAAUACUCUUGGAUAGUGGACGUUACUCGCAGAAUAAGCACCGGCUAACUCUGUGCCAGCAGCCGCCGUAACAC
rnacentral:rRNA from 1 species